AAGUUGGGGAACCCCCCCCAAGUCCUUUCCCACAGUGAGGAGAGCAGACUUUGGGAGAAUGGGGAAGCCACUCCAAACGGGAUAAUCUGGUGUGGGGAAGCAGACAGCGAGACAGUAAAAGGUUGUAGAUCUUCCAUGGACCCUCAAAUCUUCAGUUACCGAAAAUUCACAAAAUGCAUGGUGAAGUGGUUUGUUUGUUUGGAGUGGGUAGGGGUUACGUGAAAACCAGUGAUAGAGGAAGCAUCUCAGCCAGGGUGUCUUGGAAAGGAAUAGCACACAGAGACCCAGGGACACACCAGCAGGCAGGUGCCCAAAGGAGGGUCUCAGUUUGCAGAAUCCCAGGGUCCAAGUUGCCACAGGCUCCAAGGCCAGGCUUAACCAGGUGCCCAGGUCUGUGGGCACCUCCAGGAGCCAAGGAGGACGGAGGGCAGCAGGCAGGUAUCAGCAGAGAAGACUGUCCCCAGAGCCCCUGCCAUGGGAGCCCCCCUGUCUUUUGUGACCUCACAGGAGGCGGGUGGGUGACUCUUCGCUUCAGGGCCUUAGCCCAAACGGACGCCAGAGCCUUCCCCCAGGGCAGGGGCACGCGGCCCCUCGGCGAGGGAGCCGGGACAUUAGGCAGCUCCAUGUAGGUGCACGCUUAGGUCAGGAGGAUCCACCAUGAAGAAGGGCAAGAGGAAGAAGUCAGAAACCAGGCGCCGGGGCUCCACCUCCCUGCACGCCAGCUCCGAAUCCACCCCCCAGCAGCAGAGCUCAGAGUCCAGUUCCCAGCAGCCUGUCUCCGGAUCCAGCCCGCGACCACCCAGCCCCAAGCCCACCUCUCAGCUGCCCAGCUCGGGAUCGGCCCCCCUGACACCCAACCCAGCACCUGCCCCACCGCCACCCAGCCCAGGGCCCACCCCACAGCAGCCCAGCUCAGGGUGCACCUCACAGCCCAGCAGCAACUCUACUCCCCCGCAGCCUGCACCCCGAGCCCUCCCAGCUCCAGAAGUCAGCCAUAGCCACUCGGCUCGGGACAUCGUGUCUCCAGACCCCAACUCCAAAGCAUCCUCUCGGUCCAAGAAAGCAGCAGGGCCUCUGAUUCUAGUGGGCCCACGUGCAUUCUGUUCCUGUUCCAUUUGCCCCGGCAGCUCUGCUUGCUGGCGUCGUCUGGGCCUCUGCCACAGCCGCAUCUUCGAUGUCCUUCUGCCUCGGGCCUGGCCGACCAUGUCAGGGAGAGGAUUCCCAAACCUCCUCACCUUUUACAGAAGACCUCCAAGAAAACAUUCCACUCAUCGUAAUUCGCGUGCUCCGAGCCCUCGGAACUGUUGCUGUGGCUCUGGGAGCCCUAGGAGCUGCCUACUACAUCCUUGAAUCUUUGUGAACAAGUCCCCAGGCCCGCAGUCCGGCAGGGCCUACUGGCAUGGCUCUCUCGGGCAGCCCUGGACACUCAUGGACAACGCUAGACCCGUUAUUGGGAUCGUCAAAACAGAGAUUUCCCUGUUCCCUGCUGACCUGGGGUGGUUCCUCUCCUCGCAGACACCAGCUAGGAGGAGACAGGAGAGAUCCAGUUUUCCAUCAAGGAUCUCUCUUGUCACCAAAAUAGAACAAAACAAAACAAAAAAAAAAUCAAAAAAAGGAGUUCUGUUUCUUUAGUGUAUUUUACCUAGAGACACAAAAGUUGGUCUUGGCAAAUGGGUAGGGAAAUGUGAGGGCCUUGGUGACUUUGUGAGCCCCCCCGCCCCAAGGUAAACCAAGGUGGAAUCCUGCCCUUCCUUUUGGGGGCCACGGACCCAAGGGAGGCAACUUUCUCUGCACACACUCACAGAAGAAACAAUUUCAGAUUUUCCUAUUCUAAAUGCAGGAAUUAGGCAACUUAAUUCAGUACCUAAGGUAACUAGUCAAUGGGCACUAAUAUCCACCACCAGAAAACUCUGUCCCUGGGAAAUGGCUUCAUUCAGCUUCACCUGGGAUGGAGGAAGUUCAAAGCCCGUCGAGGCGUGGCUCACAGCCUUGUGGUUUGUCGGGUGACGUAGCUGCCCCCAGCCAGUGCCUGCUGGGUCUGGACAUCUAGUUCCUGGACCGGCUGAGGCAGAAGUCUUAGUUCAAGGUGAUCCCAGGAAACACCAAUAGGGGAGACAGGUGUGGAACAGGUGCAGUGGCCACUGGGGGCAGAUGAAGCUGUAUCCUUCUAACACAGUGCAAGGAAACAGAACACAUACCUCAGAGUCACCCUGCCCCGGAGGGGAAGUUGGGUAUUAUUUAUACACUCAUCGGUUAAGGGCUCCUGGGAGGGAGGUGGUUAAUUUUGUGCCCUGCCCCCUCUGUGGGGAGGGGGCCCAGGGGAAUGCAGAUGGUGGAAGUUGGGAGUUGAGAAUGCACUGAAGCCUGUUACCCAAACAGGAAGGGGUGGGUAGCAGGGAGAGGUGAGGACAACCCCUAACUCAAGUGAGCGAGUGCACAGAGCACCUGGGUGACCCGCUCGCCUCUAAGAAGGGGCCAGGCUUGAACCAGCAGGACAGCCCUAGGGGAGGCAGGUCCACCUGCAACAGCACAGGUGGGAUUGAGCAAGAAGGUGGGGGAGUGGGAGGAAGGGGAAGGCAGGUUGCCAGGAAUCCCAGAGCCCACCCACCACCUCCCAAUCCCAGGAUUUCCCUUCCUGAGCAGACACUGGGAGACUUGGAGAGGGUACCCUGGGUUGCCAGGAUCCUUCUCUGGGCAGUCAGCUUUUGGGAAGAAGAAUGCUGGUUUCUGCUGGGGUGGGGUGGGGUCCUGCUGCCGUCUGACCUGCAGAUCAGGAUAAAAGGGACCCACAGACACGGUGGGGGGACCAGGGACCCCGAGACUGCUGCGUCCGGUCAGCCCAGUUCUCUGAAGAUAUUUAGCUCCUUUUUCUGGCAUAUUUAUCAGGCCCCCUUUGGUUGUAAAUGUCAGACAACCUAACCCCAAGUGCCCUGAGCAAAAGGAGCGUGUACGGACUCCAGUAAAAGUCAAGAGAGAGUUCAGUCCAGAUGUGGUUUGUUCCCGGGGUGCAGGCCGUGCCCCCAGAGCCCGUUUCUCUCCGUCUGCAUUGUUGUGUCAGUUCCGUGUUCAGGCAAGUUCAUCUUUCAAGGUGCACCAGCCAUUGCCACCCCCCACCCCACCUCUGAAGUCAAGUCUGGCUGGGAAAGGCAGCCUGUCCCCGAAGCAGAAGGCCCCUGAUCCGGCUCUUAUUAGGUCUGGGUCCCUCCUGGAACUGCACUCUAGCCAGGGCAAUGCGGUGCUCUGAUUGGCCAGGCUAGCCCUACACAUCCACCUUUGGAACUGAGGGUCAGCUCCACAGGAACUAUGAGGGCUGAGAGCAGGGAAGAGACCAAACAGUGUUUUGGUAACCUUUAACCAAAGGAAAUGGAAGUGCAUCCUAGGCAGCUACAAACAGCAGAUACUGAUGCCAGGUAGGUUUGGACCUGCGACCAGGGCCUUGGUGCUGACCUCCCACUCCUGCCUCUUUCCCGUCCACCCCCACCGCUUCACCAGCAUGGAAGUAGCGGGGAGCUGAGGAUUUCCAGCUGCUUUGAGCCCCAGACCCCUGGUGGUCAGAUUCCCCCCAGCAGUGGUGACCUCGCAUUACUCCCCUUCCACCCAGGGAAAUGUAGAGUCAGUGCUGACUGUCACAGUAAUUAGGGGAUACUAUGGGCCACUGGUGGUGACGGCCAAUAACACAAUGCACAGGACAGUCCCACACAAUAAAUAAGUAUCCCACCCCAAAACGCCAAGAGCAUCCUCCUUGGCAAUCAACGCCAUUGGGUUCACCCCAGAUACUCUGCUGUGCUGGUCUAGCCUUGGGUCUCACAGUACUUAUCAUGGACCAUAGGCAUCACUCUUAAAGAAUGGGAAACCCUCCCCCCUUGAGAACAGCCACGUUCCAAGAGUCCCCCAUCAUCCUGCUGUGUGGCCUUGUUGUCCAUCCCCUCCCCCCUCCGCCCCCCAUUAGGUCCUAGAGGCAGAGACCAGGUGUUUUCCUCUCUCAAAUCCUUCCCAGAACAUAAAAGAAUCUCGUGAGUGAAUAGGCCUGCCUCGUGAGUGAAUUAGGACCAUUUUUGAACAAACAGAUUUGGCUUGGGUUAUUGUAUUCAGAGUGGUUUAUAAAUGUAAUCAUGGGAUUGAACUAGAGUUGACCCUUGAACAAUUCAGGUUUGAACUACACAAAUCCACUUGUACACAGAUAUUUUUCAACAGUAAAUGCUGCAGUACUACAUGGCUCAUGGCUGAUUGAAUGUGAGGAAGCAGAGCAAGCGCAGAUAUAGCAGCCAACUAUAAAUUAACUCAGAUAACCCCUCAUGUUGUUCAAGGGUCAAAUGUAUUUUAAUUACUGCCAAUUUCAAGCGAUAGCUCUGUGAGUGCCAAGUCGCUUCAGUAGUGUCCAACUCUUUGUAACCCUAUGGACUGUAGCCCACCAGCCUCCUCUGUCCAUGGGAUUCUCCAGGCAAGAAUACUGGAGUGGGUUGCCAUGCCCUCCUCCAGGGGAUCUUCCUGACCCAAGGAUCGAACCUGCGUCUCCUCGGCUCCUGCAUUGCAGGCAGAUUCUUUACCACUGAGCCACUGGGGUAGCCGAGAUAGCUCCAAGAGGUGCUUUCGAAGUUUAGAACUAGAGAGAAGUAGAACCAAAUAUAUUUGUGCACAUAGUGCAAUAACUAAGGUUGUCAUGGCUGUGAGCUUGUAGACAGCCUGGUUGAGGCUAGGCUUGAGGAUUUAGCAUCUUCAACAGGCUGGACUCAGACCUCAACUCUGAAUAUGGUCUCCAGACCACGGGUUGGUUCUUCUUGGGAAAAUCAGGUCUGUCCCACUGGAGCAAUCCAUCCAAGGGUGGAAAUGAGAGUAGAAGAAGGAAAAGGUGAAACCAAGUCCAGAAAGCCCCAUUCUCCAGCACUUCCCUGUCUGGUCCACCCAGCUCAUUGGUGCCAGGAACCUAGGACCAAGUGAAAGGUGCUGAGCUUUCAGAUACUACUGUGGCCUUUAUCCAUCCCAUCGCCACCUCCGGAGGACAACAUUGUCCCACUGGUCAUGAAGCAUGGUGGGUUAUAGGUACAGAUCGUUAGUAACUAUGAUCCAGAAAACUGAACUGACAAAUCCAUCCAUAAAAAUCAUGAGAAACACCUAAGUACAGCCUCUUCCAACUCCUGCCUAGGGUCUCAGGCUCACUGUCGUGUCAGGCAAGGCAAGUCGUAACCCAAUGGAGCAAGGACAGCUUUUCACACUGCCGUUGCAAGUUGUGGCUUUACCAGGAAAUUCAGGCAAAUCCUGUGUCCCCAAGCAACUCCUCUUCUGUAUAUGUAGAAACAGCAUAUACGUAAAUAAUACGCAGAUUAUAUACGUGAUCACACCUCGCACACCCAUAGAGACUCGAAGCAGGGAUUUGAAUCAGCAAAGUGCCCUUGUCAGCAUCCCAAGAUGCAUUCCUGGCCAAAGCCAGGGGGAACUGAGCCAUGAGCUGACAGAAGGAGUGGGACCAAGAGCCUUGAGGCACCUCCUCGCUCGACGUGUAGCACCGCUGGCUGACAAGGAGGAAGCUCUCCAAGAAGAGGACCGCUUGGUCCCAGCUGCAGGGUUGAAGCAAGGAAGCUAAGCUCAGACUCCUCCAGGAGAGAGAGCUAAAAGUCUGUACAAGUCUGGGGUGACCGACCCCAGUUGAGUACAUAAAAGACACACAGGAAGGCCCACCUGUCUUCCACUGGACUCAGGGUGAAGAGUCUGGGAUGGCUGAUUCCAUGAAAACGCUGAACACCCUCCCUGGACUCUCCUAUAUGCCUUUCUCCUCCGCCUCGCUCCAUUUUUCUGCCCUUCUCUUGCCUGCCCACCUCCAGUGCUCUAGUGAACUGCUUUUACCAUGUUCUGGGGAAUCCGAUUAUACCCCAAAAAUGGUGUUUGGAUUGCAGUCUGCUGGAGAAUGGCACUGGGGUGUAGUUUUAUCUGCAGGUGUGGUUGGAGGUGAUUUUAAUGUGUUUAUGAGCCAUCUUCAGAGACACAGUGUGUAUGGAAGGUUCCAGAGACUACAGUUGCUCAAGGAGCCUGGGGCUCCCAGCAGGCCCUUGGCUGAGCCCUGGGAGUUGGAUAACACUGACUGUCUCAUCCUCCAGGGAUGAAGGAUCAUUUGGGGUAUAUUUUGGACCUUUGGGAAUGGCAUCCUGUCAUAUCACUGUCUUCUAGGAGUAUCUGAGGUUACACAUGUAGUUUUGUUGUUGUUCAAUCACUAUGACUCUUUGCGACUCCAUGGACUGCAGCACACCAGGCUUCCUUGUCCUUCACUACUUCCCUGAGUUUGCUCAAAUGUGUGUCUGAUGAGUCAGUG